rnacentral:rRNA from 1 species
GACGAACGCUGGCGGCGUGCUUAACACAUGCAAGUCGAACGGUGAAGCGCCUUCCUUUUUGGUGGGUGUGGAUGAGUGGCGAACGGGUGAGUAACACGUGAGUAACCUGCCCCCUUCUUCUGGAUAACCGCAUGAAAGUGUGGCUAAUACGGGAUAUUCUGGGUCGGUCGCAUGAUGGGUCUGGGAAAGAUAUUGUUUCGGUGGGGGAUGGGCUCGCGGCCUAUCAGCUUGUUGGUGGGGUGAUGGCCUACCAAGGCGGUGACGGGUAGCCGGCCUGAGAGGGUGGACGGUCACGCUGGGACUGAGAGGCGGCCCAGACUACGACGGGAGGCAGCAGUGGGGAAUAUUGCACAAUGGGCGCCAGCCUGAUGCAGCGCCGCCGCGUGAGGGAUGGAGGCCUGCGGGUUGUGAACCUCUUUCGCCAGUGAAGCAGGCCUGCCUCGUUUGUGGGUGGGUUGACGGUAGCUGGAUAAGAAGCGCCGGCUAACUACGUG